CCUACGGGAGGCAGCAGUGGGGAAUAUUGCACAAUGGGCGAAAGCCUGAUGCAGCGACGCCGCGUGAGGGAUGACGGCCUUCGGGUUGUAAACCUCUUUCAGCAGGGAAGAAGCGAAAGUGACGGUACCUGCAGAAGAAGCGCCGGCUAACUACGUGCCAGCAGCCGCGGUAAUACGUAGGGCGCAAGCGUUGUCCGGAAUUAUUGGGCGUAAAGAGCUCGUAGGCGGCUUGUCACGUCGGGUGUGAAAGCCCGGGGCUUAACCCCGGGUCUGCAUUCGAUACGGGCUAGCUAGAGUGUGGUAGGGGAGAUCGGAAUUCCUGGUGUAGCGGUGAAAUGCGCAGAUAUCAGGAGGAACACCGGUGGCGAAGGCGGAUCUCUGGGCCAUUACUGACGCUGAGGAGCGAAAGCGUGGGGAGCGAACAGGAUUAGAUACCCGUGGUAGUCCACGCCGUAAACGGUGGGAACUAGGUGUUGGCGACAUUCCACGUCGUCGGUGCCGCAGCUAACGCAUUAACGUUCCCGCCGUGGGGAGUCGGCCGCGAAGGCUAAACGUUAAAGGAAUUGAACGGUCGUGAGAGUGCGAGACGACGACGAGGAGAG
rnacentral:rRNA from 1 species